rnacentral:lncRNA from 7 species
AGGGUAGCUCUUCCAUCUCGGUGGACUGAAAAAUAUCUGUAUUUUUCCCCUUGCAAAGUGAAAACAAAAGCUGGCAUUUGAACAACUGUUUUAAAAAGUGGAAGAGCUUCACGCUUCUGAGGCUUUAAUCUUCCAAAAUCCUAAUGAUGGCUUAUAAAAAAGCCUGUAAAGAAGGUGGUUCCCGCAGGCAGCGAGCUGUGCACUGACCCCAGGCUUCUGCAGCGACUACGUCUGGAGGAGUUUCUCCACUUGCUGGAAAGAAAACAUAAGGAGAAUUUUAGUGGGCAAAAUAAAGGCAUCUCUGCUCAUGUGAAUGCUCACCCAUGAGCACAACAGAGCAACACAUGUGAUCUGCAGUUCAAGGUUCUUCCUUAAGGAAUAAUUCUAAGAAGAUAUUAAUAAAAUUGGAAGAAAUUACCAAGAUAUCAUAAGGAGACCAAAAUGUAUUCACACCUGCAGUACAGUCAGGACAGCAAAGUGAGCAGCUGAGGGCUGGCAUUCUGCCUUCAGAAAGCAGACAGCUGUGGCUGGUAAUCCCCUGAACUGCCACUGUAGGGUUUGAUAAAGCUUAUAAAGCCUCUCUGGCAGAGCUCCUCAUGCUCUACCACCUUAAAAGGCAACUAAGAAGUGUUAAUAGUGUUUAUGUAUGAAGUCAAAGUCUCUGCUGGUGCCAUGAGCACUUUGUUAAGCACAAGAAAUGCAUUAAUGUUUCUGUCUAGAGCCACAAGCAAAAUUCUUUAUUGACCAGGAGGAAAGUUUUGUAAUCUAUUUGAAUAAUAUCCCUUUAAUUAGAAUCAGAAAACACAGGACUAUCAGACUUUAUAAUCAAUCAGUUAGUGAUAAUGCAAAGAUUUCCCACUGUUCCUUGGACAAACCACUUACAAAAGCAGGCUUGUAUUUUUAAACAGAAAUUGGAUUUGAAAGAGAUGUGGCACAAAGGUACCUUAUAGUCUUUGUGCACUAUAAAGAGUUUCAAUGGUGGGAAUAAUUUUGGCUCAUUGGUGCUUGCUGUUGCUUUCCACAAGGAGCCCACGGGGAACCUAUAAGCUUUUUAUAAGAGGCCUGGAGGCCUGUGAAAAAUUACCUGUGAAAAUUCAGGAUUUGCUUUGUAAAGCUCUGCUCUUCCACUGGGUCAAAAAAGAAAACUAGGAGCCUGAAACUGGUAUAGAAGCAUACAUUUGUGCUGUAGAUGACUGCAUGCUAAUACCUGUGUAGUCAAGCACGUGUGUUUGCCCACUAUGGUCUUAAUCAUCUUUUGAGUUCUCAGGUAGAUUUCUCAGUGAUCUGAAUUCUUGGGAUGCCAACAAAAGAAAACUCAAAUUUAUUUAAGGAACUUAUAGGGUUUAAACAGAUAUAUACAUUGGGAAACAAAAUGGAGUGAUUGGAAUGAUGAUUUUAAAUAAAU